rnacentral:rRNA from 1 species
ACUCCUACGGGAGGCAGCAGUGGGGAAUAUUGCACAAUGGGCGCAAGCCUGAUGCAGCCAUGCCGCGUGUAUGAAGAAGGCCUUCGGGUUGUAAAGUACUUUCAGCGGGGAGGAAGGCAAUACGGUUAAUAACCGUGUUGAUUGACGUUACCCGCAGAAGAAGCACCGGCUAACUCCGUGCCAGCAGCCGCGGUAAUACGGAGGGUGCAAGCGUUAAUCGGAAUUACUGGGCGUAAAGCGCACGCAGGCGGUCUGUCAAGUCGGAUGUGAAAUCCCCGGGCUCAACCUGGGAACUGCAUUCGAAACUGGCAGGCUUGAGUCUUGUAGAGGGGGGUAGAAUUCCAGGUGUAGCGGUGAAAUGCGGAGAGAUCUGGAGGAAUACCGGUGGCGAAGGCGGCCCCCUGGACAAAGACUGACGCUCAGGUGCGAAAGCGUGGGGAGCAAACAGGAUUAGAAACCCCUGUAGUCCCAUG